rnacentral:rRNA from 1 species
CUACGGGAGGCUGCAGUGGGGAAUAUUGGACAAUGGGCGCACGCCAGUUCCAGCCAUGCCGCGUGUGUGAAGAAGGCCUUAUGGUUGUAAAGCACUUUAAGCGAGGAGGAGGCUACUUUAGUUAAUACCUAGAGAUAGUGGACGUUACUCGCAGAAUAAGCACCGGCUAACUCUGUGCCAGCAGCCGCGGUAAUACAGAGGGUGCAAGCGUUAAUCGGAUUUACUGGGCGUAAAGCGCGCGUAGGCGGCUAAUUAAGUCAAAUGUGAAAUCCCCGAGCUUAACUUGGGAAUUGCAUUCGAUACUGGUUAGCUAGAGUGUGGGAGAGGAUGGUAGAAUUCCAGGUGUAGCGGUGAAAUGCGUAGAGAUCUGGAGGAAUACCGAUGGCGAAGGCAGCCAUCUGGCCUAACACUGACGCUGAGGUGCGAAAGCAUGGGGAGCAAACAGGAUUAGAUACCCUUGUAGUCGAAUUCU